AUGUGUCAGCGGCACUUGCCACCAGAUAGAGCGGGCUGCCAGAGAGAGAGAGAGAGAGAGAGAGAGAGGCAGUGUGGGAGGGUUUGUGAUUCAAUAGGAAAAGAGACUGGCAUUGCUCUUGAUUUAUCGGCAUUCUGUCUGCUUGUUUACACUGAAGACCGUCUGAUAAGGACGAAGAACAGGAGGACUUUGAGGAACCAGAGCCAGGAGCCGAGAGACCAGUCCUUCCCCUUCAGGAGAGCCCAAGAGUGGGAUCUGGUAUGAGACAAAUCAGAAGAGAAGCUGAGUUGAUGUGUUGUGAGAGAACGCCCCCUUGUCUUGUGAGGGAAGAAUGCAUUGUUCACACAUUGGAGAGGGAAUUCAAGUUGGUUGUGGUUCAGCACACUCUGGCCAGCAGUUCAAGGUAUUCCCUAAACAAAGACAAAUAACAUUACAAAAGAUAUAGAUAUAGAUAGAUUAGAACUCUCUCUCUUAAUGAAAAACAUAAUGGAGUACUAAAAUAAACCUGCUUACCUUCUUCUGAUGAUCACAACACAAGGGGGGACUUACAGUACUGGACUUCUG
rnacentral:lncRNA from 1 species